GAGCUAAACCAAUACAGUUAUGUUUUUUAAUGAUAAACUGCUACUGUAGGUUUUCUUGACAAACUGAGGAAGUUCCCGCUGUCCUCCAGCGUUGGGAUCACAACAGCUCUGAAGGUUCUAGAAUCUGAAUGUUAUACACAGGAGGAUACAGCUGGAGGUGGAUAGGUAGAACCGCUCCCUAAAGAAGGUCCCUAGACUCUGAAUGUUAUACACAGGAGGAAACAGCUGGAGGUGGAUAGGUAGAACCCUAAAGAAGGUCCCUAGAAUCUGAAUGUUAUACACAGGAGGAAACAGCUGGAGGUGGAUAGGUAGAACCCUAAAGAAGGUCCCUAGAAUCUGAAUGUUAUACACAGGAGGAAACAGCUGGAGGUGGAUAGGUAGAACCCUAAAGAAGGUCCCUAGAAUCUGAAUGUUAUACACAGGAGGAAACAGCUGGAGGUGGAUAGGUAGAACCCUAAAGAAGGUCCCUAGAAUCUGAAUGUUAUACACAGGAGGAAACAGCUGGAGGUGGAUAGGUAGAACCCUAAAGAAGGUCCCUAGAAUCUGAAUGUUAUACACAGGAGGAAACAGCUGGAGGUGGAUAGGUAGAACCCUAAAGAAGGUCCCUAGAAUCUGAAUGUUAUACACAGGAGGAAACAGCUGGAGGUGGAUAGGUAGAACCCUAAAGAAGGUCCCUAGAAUCUGAAUGUUAUACACAGGAGGAAACAGCUGGAGGUGGAUAGGUAGAACCCUAAAGAAGGUCCCUAGAAUCUGAAUGUUAUACACAGGAGGGAACAGCUGGAGGUGGAUAGGUAGAACCCUAAAGAAGGUCCCUAGAAUCUGAAUGUUAUACACAGGAGGAAACAGCUGGAGGUGGAUAGGUAGAACCCUAAAGAAGGGAUUACUUUAACUCAAUUAUAAGUCAAAAAACCAACAGCCACUCUUAGAUAAAGAGGUUGAACUCAGGUUCAAUUCACAGCAUGACAACAGCCAGCCAGUGUUAACAAAUUAUUGUGUUUGGA